UACGAAGGGGGCUAGCGUUGUUCGGAUUUACUGGGCGUAAAGGGUGCGCAGGUGGCCAAGUGUGUCAGGUGUGAAAUCCCGGGGCUUAACUCCGGAACUGCGUCUGAAACUACUCGGCUAGAGUACUGGAGAGGGUAACGGAAUUCACGGUGUAGCAGUGAAAUGCGUAGAUAUCGUGAGGAACACCAGAGGCGAAGGCGGUUACCUGGACAGUUACUGACGCUCAGGCACGAAAGCGUGGGGAGCAAAAGGG
rnacentral:rRNA from 1 species